ensembl:lncRNA
UAUCAAGUAGCCCUGAACACCUUGAUUAGCUGCUUCAGGUGUGUUUGAUUGGCAUUGGAGCUGAAAUCUGCAGGACAGUAGCUCUCCAGGAGCAGGGUUGGAGACCCUGGUGUAAAUACAUCUAAAUAUCACUUCAGAUGCAAAUUCCAGAAAUGUUUUCUUAUGUUGGAAUGAAAGACACUACCGGAUGACGUGUUUCUUAUUCUUACCCAAAGAUACUAAAUGAAAGAGAGUUAAAACUAAAAAAUUCUUGCUACUCAGUAUAUGAACAUUUUUAUGCAUAUUUAUUUGCUCCUUUUCCAUUUUGUAUUUACUUGUACUUUUACUUUCAACAGGCCUUCUUAAGUAUGUUUAAUAUUAAAAAAUACUUUCCAUACUUAAGUACAAUAAAUAUCACAUAGCCUACUUUAAGAUUUUUACUCUAAACGGUGACUUCAACUUCUACCAAAGUUAUUUUCUGGUAAGAUACUUUUACUUGAGUAUGGCUUUCAGUUAGGUUACUUUAAUACAGCACUGCUUGUAUAGCGUCCUAAUGAUGCACGGCACGAUCGAAAUGUAGGUCCUAUAAUGGAUUAACAAUUAUAUUCUAAUCUUAACCUCUUAAUUUCGUAAUUUUCCUUGUUGAAACUAGUUUCUAUGAUCGCACUAACUAACUAACAUUUCACAGUCGCUUUAACACGAAACCGGGAAGUGCUCCGCCCGCGACCUGUCUAUCUGUAACAAGAUAUUCUCAAAUUGGGAAGAGCUCAGACAUCUCUGACUGUCAAAAGACAGAUGACCUAGAACCUGUUCGGAGCUCUGUGGAUCAUUAAUUAAUAAUCCGUCUACUCUACAGCAAUCCCACACGAUGGAUGUAAAGGAUCUCGGAGUAAAAAUACUCAGCUUUAUUUCCAUUCUCUCAAAUUGCUCGAUGAACGGAUAUGGUUCAAGCUUGAAGUGUUGUUUCGAGGUUUUGAGAAACCACUCGGUUUCCUAUCAUCUCAGUGAGCCACCUGGAGCCUUCUGCACACCAACAUGGUCAGAAAUGGAAUUCGUUGUGGUUGAUGAACAUGGAGGCGUGGAUGAGACAAAGGUAGUAUAUCUUGAACCCCAGAAGUUAAUCGUCAAAGAAAACACGGAUGAGAAGAUCAAAGAGGUCACAUACCGAAAGGACUGCCUAGGGCAUGCUUUCACUACAAGAUGUAAUGAUCCUUGUCCUGCUUUGGACCCACCCAGAACUACAGCCCCAUACAAUAACACCACUGAAGAAACUGGUAGAAAUCAUGUCAUUAUGUAUAUCAUUGGUGUCAUCAUCAUCUUCAUUAUCGCUGUGACUGUCAUCUGUCUCCGAAGAAAGUGCCAAUCUUGAAAUCUUAAUUUAAGGUAUAUUUGGAAAGCAGUGCCAUAGAAUGAAACCCCAACUGUCUUGGUCUCUGAUGCCACCUGAACAAGACUUUUAAUUAUGAUAACACUGAAUAAAAUAAAUAAAAAUAAAAUCUAAUUUUGCUCACUCUAAAUAUACUGGAAAAAUGUUAACCUAAAAACAUCAAAGUUAACUGUUUUUAUUCAACCUUAAAGGCACAAUAUGUAAGAUUUCUUUAUUAAAAUAUCCAAAAACCACUAGAACAGUGUUAUAUAUUUUGCUGACUUAUCCCAAAUGUUUCAAAUAAUGUUUAAAUCCAGAGAAAUAAGCAAUUUUAACUAGAGACAUGGACAGUGUCCAUAGUGUCAUUGUGUCGCAGACGUCAUACACCCUCGAUUUCCAGUUUUGUUUUGUAGAAAACAUGGAAACACCAAAGACACUUUAAUAUGUUAUGUGUUUUAUUAGACAGGUGACGACUGCACAGAGUAGCAUUAUAACAGAACUUUCAAAUAUAUCUAGUACGAUAAAACAGUGCUGCUUUACCCCACAUACGCAUGACCGGAAGGAGCAGAAGCGGUCAACUGUGGCAUAAUAAAAGCUCUUUUGCUUUCGAGCCGUGUGUCACGCUUGUCUCUCACUAGCAAUUGCUUCAGUGGCCUCGUUUCACUUUGAUGGCUUUCCGCGUCACUCUGCUUCAUACUACGAUGUUAAUAAAUCUUUUAUACAGUAGCUCCUCCAUGAACAUGAUUUCUGCCUGAGUCCCUUCGGAUUGCAUCUGUUGUGAGGAUGAAGACGAAAACUCCCAUGAUUACACACUCAGUCACUUUGUCAUCAAACUACGCCUUUGUUUCUUUGUUUGUUUUGAAAACGUGCACUCUACUGGUGAAAACUUACAUAUUGUGCCUUUAAUACAUACAUUUAUCAGCAAAACUCAGUUUUAUGGGUUAAAUCAGGUAGAAAUAGCUUUUUAAGGUAACAAUUGCAGGUCAACACUUUUUACAGUAUAAUCAUGAGUGAG